AUUGAACGCUGGCGGCAGGCCUAACACAUGCAAGUCGAGCGGAUGAAGGGAGCUUGCUCCUGGAUUCAGCGGCGGACGGGUGAGUAAUGCCUAGGAAUCUGCCUGGUAGUGGGGGAUAACGUCCGGAAACGGGCGCUAAUCCCGCAUACGUCCUGAGGGAGAAAGUGGUGGAUCUUCGGACCUCACGCUAUCAGAUGAGCCUAGGUCGGAUUAGCUAGUUGGUGGGGUAAAGGCCUACCAAGGCGACGAUCCGUAACUGGUCUGAGAGGAUGAUCAGUCACACUGGAACUGAGACACGGUCCAGACUCCUACGGGAGGCAGCAGUGGGGAAUAUUGGACAAUGGGCGAAAGCCUGAUCCAGCCAUGCCGCGUGUGUGAAGAAGGUCUUCGGAUUGUAAAGCACUUUAAGUUGGGAGGAAGGGCAGUAAGUUAAUACCUUGCUGUUUUGACGUUACCAACAGAAUAAGCACCGGCUAACUUCGUG
rnacentral:rRNA from 1 species